GGUACACUGCUGCCAGGCCGAGGCUCGUGGGCAGAGGGUUUGGCAAUGCCUGUGCAUCGGCCCAGCUGGAGUGGCACCUGAGACAGAGCCAGGUCCUGGAGGCAGAGCCCUGGAUAGAGGACAGAAAUGACUGCUUUUGCUUCUACUGUUACUCUGGGACAAGAUCUCUUCUGCCUGACAAAGUGCCCUUCCGGGGGCAAGGAGGAGGGAGAGUUGCUGAUUAGCCACGCGGAGCUAUUGAGAGACCUAAGGACAAAAAUCAAGAUUGGAAUUUUCAGAGUGUUCAGCCAGCCGACGUUCAUUCCUUUACUGUUCACUCAGCUAACAUCUUUUAAGCAUCCUUUCAAUGAGCCUGAGCCUUCAACGAUGAGCAAGUCUCCCAUCAUUGCCUCCUCUUGGCAGAACCUGUCCAGCAGCCAGCUGAUAGAAUUACUGGUUGAAGCAGCCUGGGGAGCAGCCCCCCAAGAUACAGUGCAGUGCAAGGAAGUUGAGAACCAGCCUUGAAAGUGGACUCUCCAGCAGCAAAAUACCUCUUCACACCUACUGAAGAGCUAUAAUGAAAAAGAUCAAUCAAGCCAAAUGUUGGCAAGGAACGCUUUUCCAUAACUAAUGGUGUGUAUGAGAGUAAAAGUGCUUGGCACUUUUGGAAAACUGCUUGGCAGUCUCUGAUCGAGUUGGAUAGACACCUACCUAUGACCCAGCCAUUCUAUUCCCAAGGAUAUAUAUGCCCAAAGAGAAAUGAGAAGCUAUGUCCACAAGAAAGGCUUGUCCUAGAAUGGGAACAGCAGCACUGUGAGUAAUUGUCACAACAGUGGAAACAACCCAAAGAGUCCCCCAACAGGAAAAUGGAUUAAACUGUGGUUAAUUCAUACAAUGGAAUAUGCAUUAAAAUAGAAACAAACUACGGCUAGAUGCAAGGACAUGGAUGAAUCUCCAAGACAUCAUGCUGAGGGAAAUGGGCCAGCGUAACUGAGGAGAAACUGCGUGACUCCAUGUCAAGUACAAAGACAGGCAACACUCAUCUGUGGUCAUCAGGGAGGAGUGCCUGGCAAGGACACCAGGGAGACUUUCUGGGAUUGUGGAAAGGCUCUUGACCUUGAUCUGGGUGUUGAUAACACAGAUAUAUUUGACAAAACUCAUCAAUUGUACUUCUAGGAUCUGCGUAUUUCCUAUUCUAUGAAAAUGACACCUUAAUAAAGGGAGAAAAUGUAACACAAAUAAAAGACUUAGACCUUUGUCUCCCUUCCUCUUCCACCAGCCCAGCUCAGGUGCUCCUUGCAGGGCUGUGGCCGUCUCAUCCCUCAGCUGUCCCCAUCCAUGGCCCCUGCAGCUCUCCCUCCUUCUCAACCCCCGGUCCCCUGGCAACAGGGGCAGAUCCAUCUUGCCGAAGCAGCUGUUGGGGACAGCAAUUACCUCAGGACCUGGCGCCCAGAGUGCCCAGUUUAAAUCUCAGCCCUACCUUGUCCCAGCUGUGUCAUUGAGUUGAGCCAUGUCACUUCUCCUAUCAUCUGAAAAAUGGGCUAACAAGACCUUCAGAGGAUUGUUUGGGAAAUGCAAAUGAGGCAGAAUCAAGGAAAGAGCUUCUGGAAACGGGAAUUCGGCAACCAUAUGUAUUGCUUAUACCACUCAACCAUGGUUCACAUGGUUCACAGCAUGGUUCAUAGCAAGGGCCCGACCCCCACACAGUUGAAAAUCUGGGUAUGACCCCCCAAACUUAAUUACUGAUAGCCUGCUAUUAACCAGAAGCCUUACCAGUAACAUGGUCGUUUCAUACACUAUCUUUACAUGUAUCACACAUGUAUUCUUACAAUGAAGUAAUCUAGAGGAAAGAAAAUCUUAAGAAAAUCAUAAGGAAGGAAGAAAACACUUACAGAACUGUACCAUGUUGAAGAAAAUCUGUAUUUAAGUGGACCCAUGUAGUUCAAACCUGUGUUGUUCAGGGGUCAACUGUAUUUAAGAACUUUCCAUGGCUCUUGGGCAGCACUGGGGCAGACUGGAUCAUUGGUCCAAUUCUUUCCUCCUGGUAAUAGGAUUCUGCACCCAUACUCUGUGUCACGUGACUCCACUUUCCCACCGGGCUGAUGGCGGGCUUGGUCGCCUGACUGGUAAUGGCAUGUCAGUGGAUGUGAGCAGAGCAUAGGAUUAAAAAUGUUUGUGCUGUUUGGCUUGGUCUCUUGAACCUCUGUGCUUGCUGUGCUGGCCCAAGGAGAGCGUGGAGUGGUCUUGAGCCCAACCCACAGUCUGCGCGGAAGAAAAACAAAGCCUGUUGUAAACCAUGGAGUGCUCAUGUGUUGGGCUAGGCAGCAUUUCUGCGGUAAUGGCUGACUAAUGUAACCUCAAGGUCAUCCCUACGAAGUCUCCAUUCGCUUACCUCUCCAGCCCCACUUCCAACAGCUCAGCUCUAGCCAAACCAAUCCGUUCUGCAUCCCAUGAAACUUAGCAUUCCCUGUCACUCCCACUCGCCUCACUUAAUGUGCUGUUUUCCUUUCCUGUCUUUCCUCUCUCCCGAAUGCCGAAGGUUUCCUACCUCCACUGCUCCAGUCUCUAUGAGUCUAUACCAGCCAUGCCUAUCUUUCAAAAGCAAUGGGAGUCCCACCUCCCUUUGGACGCUUUCCUUCACUGCCCAACCCACCUGGCCCAGGGAACCCUCCCUCUGUUGAGCCCAUGCAGCCCUUCCAGUCUAUGUCUAUCAUGGCAUGCUGAGCAUCCCACGAAAUUUCGGCUUCAUCUUUCCAAAUGAAAGCAGUGUCCGUCAUCUGCCUGUAGCUUAGGAGUUUCUGUUCCCUAUGGAAUUGCUCUUUGGGCGAUACCUGCUGGUGAAGGAAGAAAUGAACCAACGAGGGGCGCCUGGGUGGCUCAGUGGGUUAAAGCCUUUGUCUUCGGCUCAGGUCAUGAUCCCAGGGUCCUGGGAUGGAACCCUGCACCAGGCUCUCUGCUCAGCAGGGAGCCUGCUUCCACCUCUCUCUGCCUGUCAAAUAAAUAAAUCUUAAAAAAAAAAAAAAAAAAAGAAAGAAAUGAACCAACGAGUGUAACUUGCCUCUGAACACCCAACUUCCCUGAAGUUCUGAUUUACAAGUCUAGCUCCAGGGCCCUUCUAGCCGGGGUGGAGAAAAGGCGGUGAAUACCACCCACCCGGCAUGACGGGAGAGGGCACAUCUGCCUCAUGGAGUCAAGUGGAAGAGAAGACUCUUCUCUUUCCCUGUCCCUAUCUCAUUCCUAUCUGUGGCUCUAUCUUACUCGCUGGCUGUGAUGACCUCCCAGACUGCGAGGGAGCAACAGUGCAGUUGCAAUCUAGACCGUCUUACUAAUCUUGGUUUUCAUCUUCGUGUGGGUGUCCAGUGCUUUGCAUUGUUGCUCAGUAAAUAAACCAGGCUCUGUUCAAGUGUGAUUGGAAAAUGAUUUUAUACUUGGCAGUUGGGGGUCCUGUCUUCCUGAGUUUAGAAAAAUUAAAAACACUCCAACACCAGUUAUUUUGGGUUUGGGGUGAUGAUGGCAAAUACCAGCACCUUUGGAGAGUUAAGGGGUCAAAUGGCAGAACUCAGCUGUUUGAAGGGGUCUUCUGAGUGGACUUGGGGCAUGUGUUAGAAAGCCCCUCUUCAGGGGCACCUGGGUGAUUCAGUCGUCGAGUGUCUGCCUUUGGCUCAGGUCAUGAUCCUGGGGUUCUGGGAUCGAGCCCCCGCAUCGGGCUCCCUGCUCAGUGGGGAGCCUGAUUCUUCCUCUCCCAUUCCCCCUGCUUGUGUUCCCUCUCUCUCUGUCUCUCUCUCUGUCAAAUAAAUAAAAUCUUAAACAAAAAAAAGAAAGUCCCUCUUCAGAAAGUUCGCCAUACUCACAUAACCACCGAAUGACAAAAACUUUGGGCUAAAAGGCCCUUCUUUCAAAGCUCAAGCAGUUGUUGGAAGAGAUGCAAACACCCACCUGAGUUCCCAAGAACUUGGCUGGGUGAUAUUCCAGGCAACAGGCAGAGGAGAAGAACAUUUGCUCAAGGUCAAGUUCCUAGAGCUGGGCUGGUGGCUGAGUGGGAGCUCCAGUCUAGGUCCAGAGAUGGGCCAGAGAAGGGCAACAGAACAGGGGUAGGUUUCAAGACAAAUGUUCCUCAUUCUGUACUUUCAGCUGAGACCCUGGGGCAUAGAGAGGUUAAGCAGUACCUUGAGCCCCCCUAUAGAUUCCUAGGCCUCAUAGAGGCAGGAAGGAGGAGGUGGGAGAAUCUGCUCCAGAGCCAGGCUGUGAUUGCCCUGUAGGGUGGGGCUGGGGACAGAGGAAGGCCGGGAAGAGAAGCCAGGAAAGGAGUGUGGGGAGAUGGGCC
rnacentral:lncRNA from 1 species